GAAAAUGGCUGCUCUCUAUUGAAAGUGUUCUUUUGCAUUAUCAAUACGUAUUACACUGUUUCCUUGAAUAUUGACAAGAAUGUCUUCAAAUUCAAUGAGAGCUACACGUAUAAAUACUCGCAGAUCAUGUAGGAAAUCAAGGAAAAGGCUACCAUUGCCUGGAAUAGAGGGCGAUGUUGCUAGCGCGGAGCCAGCAGCAGCAUGCGUUGCCCACCCAUCAAGUCCAACACCUAGUCAAACUUCACAUCCAUAUCACUUGCGCCGAACGUCGUUACGGCGGGAUGUUAGUCCAGUAUCAGCGGCAAACACGCCGCGUAAACGGCAGAGGCGGUCAAGGUCGGCACAGGACGAGGCCUCCCAAGGUAGCAGUACGGCUGCAUAUUUUUUACAAUAUGAACUUCCAGAUGAGGUGAUACUAAACAUAUUCUCUUACCUGCUAGAGCAGGAUCUGUGUCGUGUGUCACAAGUGUGCAAGCGUUUUAACACCGUUGCCAAUGAUUCAGAGCUAUGGAAAACAUUGUACCAAAGUGUGUUCGAGUAUGAUCUUCCAUUGAUGAACCCUAAGCCGUGCAAGUUUGAGUUCAUUCAGCCAGAUGAAUCUGAGUACGAAAACCCUUGGAAAGGAAGUUUCAAGUCUUUGUAUCGAGGUUUGCACGUCAGACCUGGGUUCCAUGCCAAAUAUGAAGAAGCUCCAGAAAGGUACAAGGGAAGGCACAUAUCGUUCUUUGAGACGAUAGAAGCAGCGUUUAACGACUCUGAGGAUAUGAAGCAUCCAUUGGUGUUCAUUCACAAGGGCAUGUACAGUGGUGAAUGGCUUAUCAUUGACACAAAUGUGCAACUCAUCGGUGCUGCACCAGGCAACGUAGCGGAACAUGUGAUAUUAGAACGACAAAGUGAAUCUACAAUAAUGUUUGUGGAGGGCGCCAAUCAGGCAUAUCUGGGAUAUGUCACACUAAAGUUCUGUCCAGAUGUGACGUCGUCAGUGCCACCUCACAAACACUACUGUCUAGAGGUGACAGAGAACUGCUCCCCAGUAGUGGAUCAUUGUGUCAUCCGCAGCACUUCUGUCGUCGGUGCGGCCGUGUGUGUGUCCGGCGUCGGCGCCGAUCCAGUGAUCAAGCACUGUGAUGUGAGCGACUGCGAAAACGUGGGACUCUACGUGACCGAUUACGCACAGGGAACAUAUGAGGACAAUGAGAUCAGUAGAAAUGCACUGGCUGGAGUGUGGGUGAAAAACCACGCUAAUCCCAUCAUGAGGCGUAAUCACAUACACCAUGGCCGUGAUGUUGGAAUAUUCACGUUCGAAAACGGGCAGGGUUACUUCGAAGCGAACGACAUCCACAACAAUAGGAUCGCUGGCUUUGAGGUGAAGGCGGGCGCCAACCCGACGGUGGUCAGUUGCGAGAUCCACCACGGUCAGACGGGGGGCAUCUACGUGCACGAGAACGGCCGCGGUCAGUUCCUCGAGAACAAGAUCCACAACAACAGCUUCGCGGGCAUCUGGGUGACGUCCAACAGCGACCCGACGAUCAGGCGGAAUGAGAUUUAUGAUGGGCACCAAGGUGGAGUGUACAUAUUUGGAGAAGGAAGAGGGCUCAUUGAAUACAAUAAUAUAUAUGGAAAUGCACUGGCAGGAAUCCAGAUACGAACUAAUAGCAACCCAAUUGUGAGGCACAAUAAAAUCCACCAUGGCCAGCAUGGGGGCAUAUAUGUGCACGAGAAGGGUCAAGGUCUGAUUGAGGAGAACGAGGUCUAUUCCAACACGCUGGCCGGUGUGUGGAUCACCACGGGAAGCACGCCCGUGCUCAGGAGGAAUAGGAUACACAGCGGCAAACAGGUGGGCGUGUACUUUUAUGAUAAUGGUCACGGAACAUUGGAAGAAAAUGAUAUAUUCAACCAUCUCUAUUCCGGCGUUCAAAUCCGGACGGGCAGCAAUCCUCUGAUCAAGAAGAACAAGAUCUGGGGCGGGCAGAACGGCGGCGUGCUCGUCUACAACGGCGGCCUCGGCGUGCUCGAGUGCAACGAGAUCUUCGACAACGCGAUGGCCGGCGUCUGGAUCAAGACGGACAGUAACCCCGUGCUGCGACGCAACAAGAUACACGACGGCAGGGACGGCGGCAUAUGCAUCUUCAACGGAGGCAGAGGUGUGCUUGAGGAGAACGACAUUUUCCGCAACGCGCAGGCCGGCGUGCUGAUCAGCACGCAGAGCCACCCGACGUUGCGAACGAACCGCAUCUUCGACGGCAUGGCGGCCGGCGUCGAGAUCACGAACAACGCGACGGCGACGCUCGAGGGAAACCAGAUCUUCAACAACAAGUUCGGCGGCCUGUGUCUCGCCAGCGGCGUGUCACCGGUCCUCAAGGAUAACAAGAUCUUUGACAAUCGUAACUCAGUGGAAAAGGCAGUGAAAAGUGGCCAGUGCCUGUACAAAAUAUCCAGCUACACUAGCUUCCCAAUGCAUGACUUCUACAGGUGUCGAACAUGUAACACGACUGAUCGCAAUGCCAUCUGUGUUAAUUGCAUCAAAGUUUGCCAUGCCGGCCACAAUGUGGAGUUCAUCAGGCAUGAUAGGUUUUUCUGUGACUGUGGUGCAGGUACGCUGAACAACUCGUGCCUGCUACAGGGUGAGCCGACGCAAGACACAGACACCCUGUACGAUUCGGCUGCGCCCAUGGAGUCGCACACACUCAUGGUCAACUAGCAGCAGCACCUACGCUCGACGUCAUGUGAGGCGGUGGCAAGGCCAGAGCCUCUCUCUCUCCGAGAAAUAGCACCUCUACUCCUCUAUUCUUCCUCCUCAUUAUCAUCAUCAUCAUCACCAUCAUCGUCAUCAACAUCAUCGUCAUAGUCUCCAUGUUCUUCCUCGUGCCCUGACGGGAGUUUCUUCUCAUCUCUUGUACAUUUUUCACUCAUACACAUGUCAACGAAACCCAUCAAAUGUGGUGACGGUGGUGGUGACGGUAGUGGUGGUAUCGGUGGGAGGUGACAGAAGCAUUCGUGGUCCUCGAUCGUUGGCGUUUCUGUGUACGGGGGGUGAGCGGUCGGUCGCUAGCACGUGGUGGACUCGCGCUGAAAAGAUGCGUUGCUAUGCAGAGAGGAGCACAGCAUGUUGCCGAGUGAUAUUGUGAGGAAGACUUGUACGCUUGCUGGUAUGUUUUCACGUGGACCAAUCUGUCCUGGUCUCUCUUUCUUCCUCUUUCUCUCUCUCUCUCUCUCUCUCUCUCUCUCUCUCUUUGCACGUGUGUGUGUGUUCGCAUGCAUGUUGUGUCACAUUCCUCGUGUUGGUGUACUGUAAAAACGUGAUCUAAUUGUGAAAAUGGAAAAAGUCGAGGUCUUUCUAUUUCCUAUGUAAAUUGGUGCACCAAGACAGUCAUGUUCUCUGCCCGUGUCCACCACAGUUGUACCGGAGUUUAGACGUUGUGUACUCAGAUGGGGGUUAGUGUUUAACACUUACUGCUGUAGUUCGAUUAUUAACACUUAUAACCACGAUAAGCAUAUGCCUUCUAACCCUUAUUGGCCUUCAAAAAAGCUUCCUCGUGAAAUAGUACUUGCAGCUAGCAGCAUGUGAAUCGACAUGCAUUGCGCGACGUUGCAAUGCGAGCUGCAAUGUGAAUAGUAGUGUCUAACCAGGAUGAACAUUUAUAGUCGCAGUAGUAGCAGUACUUCUGGGGCCAGUUGUUUCUUCCAGAUUCCUAUUCCAUUCCACUUCAAUUCCUUUGAUUUCAUUUUGGUUUUAAUUGCCUUUAUCGACUGUUGAGAUGAAACCGAUCUAUCUUAAAGAUGUAUGCUGUUGGUAACUGACCCCCAAAACUAGCCAUGAAUCUGAAGUGAUGCAGCCAGGGGUUGAAUCUGUGUGACAGGUGUAUGAUACCUAUGUGAUUGUCUAGCUCACUGCAGUGGUAUUCACGAUUGGACCAUGGCCUCUUGAACCCUUCUAAUUCAUACGUUUUGUGUUCACUACGUGUGAAUUCUGAGAGCUAGACGAAGUGCUGAUAUGCAGCGUGUGUUUGACUGGCUGGAAGAAAGUGAGGUGACAUUAAGUGGUCUCAUAAAGAAUGUGUGUGUUUACACUACGUGUUAAUAUCACCUUCAAAAUAACAGAGGGGCAGUGCAGUGGCGUGUUUGUGAGACGUGAAUUAGGUACGAGUGUGAGCCGUGCACUUUGGUUCCGCGACGUAGUUUUGUGAUGGUGGGCAUCUAGAGUCUGGUUAUGUUAGAGAUUUUGGUACGUUCACAAUCAGCAGGGUCUUCAAAAUUUUGGUUAAAAACCACCCAAAUAAUUUCUUUACCAUUUUAAUUUACAAUGCCAUGAGCAAACUGUCUCGUGAAAUAGUUGUGUCGUGAUAUUGUGGACUGAUAUACCUUCGAUAUAGUGACUGUGAGAUAGACACUUCCACUCCUGGCCAACCUUGUUUCCCCAACAUUAGCAGUUCUUGGUCAAUUUAUUUCAGUGGUGCCUACUAAAAUUGGUUUUUUGAUGGGUUCUUGAAUUCAGGUAACUUUGCAUAACUGGUGAAAAUAAUGUACAUAUUUUAUUACAUAACGUAUAGUGUUGUGCUUACCUAUAGACUGUAUACUCUAGAACAUAAUGUGAAAGUUCCCUUACCGAAGGCAAGCGACGCCUUGCUGCAACUUUUGCUCGCAAGCUGUGCUUUGCACACUUGAUUACUGAUGCUGUGUCAGCGUGGAAUACUGCUAGCUACAGGUCAAUGUCACUAGCGCGCACAGCGGCUGCCGUGGCACGUUGCAAACGCACGAUCGUAGACCUUGCAAAUGUUUCUCACGUUAUUCGCGAUUGCCCAAUGAUAGACGGAGGUCUACCGUGAUCCUUCCGUCGAAGGUAGUGGUAAUGUGUUGUACCGAAGAGGAGCAUGGUGGCUCUAAACAUUGGUUAUGUGGAAAUAAUGUGCGUGUGUCGGUGCAUGCAUGCAUGCAUGCAUGCAUACAUGGGUGGGCAUGGGAAUGUGUGGGUGUGUGUGCAUGUGGGGUGUGCGCGUGUGUCCAUGCAUGUGAUGAUGUGAGUGCGUGUGAGGGUCAGUAUAUAUAGAAGCUAAUCAUGAUUUUUCUGACAAUUUAUUCGGAGACAGCAUCUCGUCUCGUCGUCUAGGUGACUUAUUUUUACAUGAAUAUAUGUAUAUAUAUAUAUAUUCGCCACGUAAUUGGAUGAUAUGAUUUGCGCGAGACCACGUCCAGGGGCUCCUGAUUGAUAUCAGAUAUAAACUGGCACGCUAGCCUGUCCGUGGCGACAAUCGCUUGUUGGCAACAGACGCCGUUAUUGUGACACCUGCGAUGUAUGUAAUAUGUGUUCAUAGCUUAUUGAUUGGAUAGGCCAUUUAUCAAAGUAUGUAAUUUUUUUUCUGCCCAGGUUAUCGAUUCGUUUACUUUUCUUUAUCAUUAUUCUAGCCGAGCUUGUUUUGUUAUUGUCCUCGAUUUUCUCUGGCCGAUUUAAUGACUGCCACUGUCUGCACGUUGUCCAUUUUAAAUAUAUCAGUUCGUUGUUAUUAUUAGUUUCAUUUGUAAAUUUUAGUUUGAAAUUUGGUUUGAUACGGGCCAUAUUUAGUUAAAGGGAUGUUACGGUGCACUUUAACAGCAACUGCCUUUAGUAUUACAAAUUAUAUAAUAAAUAUAUAUAUAUUGUAUCUAACACUAUUGUGUUACGACAUGUAAGUAAUUAGUGGAAAGCAGUCAGCGGUACAGGCGUUGGUUCCACUUUCAAUUUAAAUCGGAGCUAAAAACUUACCUUUACUCACAAUUUGUCGCCUAAAUAUUGACAAGUUGCUCACGUAUAUUCCUGAAAAGUAAAUUGCUUUUGCUAAAAACACUUAGUGAUGUAAUGCCAAAGCCGUUUGCAUGAAUUUGUAAUAUAUCAUUCUUUGACUUGAGAAGUCUUACUAGAAAAACUGUCGCACUCCCGUGACUCAAUAUUCAUUAUUGGGUGUUAGUGUAAGUAUGGAUGACUUAUUCAUAUUUAAAUUUCAACUGUGGCUCUGCUUGUACUUGUAAACCUGCCACCAGUGCUUCAAUAUACUGUGUCAAAUGGUAAAAUUA
rnacentral:misc_RNA from 1 species